UCUCGAGAGUCUGUGGCUGAGGGUGAA
rnacentral:sRNA from 1 species